rnacentral:pre_miRNA from 1 species
CAAAUACUCCCUCCGUCCAGAAAUACUUGUCAUCAAAAUGGAUAAAAGGAAAUGUAUCUAGACAUAUUUUAGUUCUAGAUAUAUCUAUUUUUAUCCAUUUUGAAGACAAGUAUUUUCGGACGGAGGGAGUAGAAA